CAACGCUUGGACAAAGACAUCUUAUGGAUACAAAAGGAAUCAACCCCCUCGCGAUGCUUUCAGCAUCUCAUAUGCUUAUCCUGGGAGGAUUUGGGUCUCAGGAAGGACACAUGGUUGUCUGUCUGCUGCCAGCCCAGACGACAAGGACUGCCCAGUGGUCCCACGGCAUCAGAAGCUAAAUAAAAUGGUUAUUUUAAACCACUAAACUAGGAGAACAUAGAGUUGUUGCACAACAAACAAGAGCUUCUGAAACCGCUUGAUGUCCUAAGGUUAGCAUUCCCUCAAUCUGGACUUGGAACCCCUUCCUGUGGGAGGACUAGAUGAACAUGGAACUGAGCCUGGCAGACACUGCAAAUGAGGCCCCUGCCAGCCAGGGGAAGCAUUGAUAGGCACACUGAGGGUAUGCUGAAGAAGGCAGUGAGGUCCAGCUCCAGGAAGCUGCAGCAACAUUAGGCCACUGCAGCGGACCUCAUUUUCAGAAGGAUUUUAAGCCAAAGCCCAAGGUUUAUUAUAAAGGACUUACAAAGGACAAAGACGAAGAGACACAUAGGGCAAGGUACCAGGGAAGGGGCACAGAGCUUCCAUGCCCUCCCUGGGCGCAUCACUCUACAGGAACCUCCCUGUGUUCAGCUAUCCAGAAGCUCUCCAAACUCCAUCCUCUUGGGCUUUAAUGGAAGCUUCGCAAGGUCAGCAUUCCUUCCCCCAGGGUAUGCGGUGGGGCCCUCUCUGGAGAACCCCAGUUAAUUUUUAAAUAUUAAAAUAAAAAUGCUGGCCAGGCACAGUGACUCACACCUGUAAUCCCAGCACUUUAGGAGGCUGAGGCAGGGGGAUCACUUGAAGUCAGGAAUUCAAGACCAGUCUGACCAGCACGGUGAAACCCCAUCUCUACUAAAAAUACAAAAUUUAGCCAGCUGUGGUGGUGCGUGCCUGUAAUCCCAGCUGCUUGGGAGGCUGAGGCAGGAGAGUCAUCUGAAUCCUGGAGACAGAUGUUGCAGUGAGCUGAGAUUGCACCACUGCACUUCAUCCAGCCUGGGGUGACAGAACGAGACUCCGUUUCAAAAAAAUAAAAGAAUGAAAAUGCUAUGUGGAACAAAAAUUGUAUUCAUUUUUGAAACAAGUUUGUUUAAAUGAAAUGAAAUCCCAAGCAAACAACAAAGCUGUUUCUGAGGAGUGAAAGACCUUUUUUGCUUAAUUCUUCCCAUAGGAGAAAAUUCUUUGAAAUAUUUUCUUGCAAUUCGAUAAAAAUGGAAAGACCCAGCAUGUAGGUAGGGCUGCUUGAUUAUUGCAAUGGAGGGAGGGAAGAUGGGGAAGCACAUGCAGCCCUUCUGUGCACCAGGCUCCAGGUGUGAGGACUCUCAUAGCACCAUUUGUGCAACGACGGAUUCGGCCUACUGACAAGGUUUUGAGGAUUUCCCUACUCUGCUAUGUGGAAAUGGAGACACUCAACAUCUCCUUAUAAAAUAUCUUGUGCCAGCCCUCAAGAUACAUGAAGCUGUGGGCCCUCAGAAACAUCUGGCUCAGCAGAAAUGACUGCAGGGUCUGCCUCUGAAGCCCAGCGUUUCUACUCCAUUUGGGAUAUUCCACACAGGAAGAGAAUUGGAAAUGCUGGAGGUAAGAGCUUUGGCAAUCGCUCUCCAAAAACCCUUGGAAACUCAAGUCAGCUUUGGCUGGGGAAGGGUACACAUUAGCUAUCUCUUCCAUACCCACCCAGUCCUUCCUGUUUCUGUUCAUUCUUCUUAUUCUUUCUAAUCCACACCUGCUCCCUCAGUCACACUUUCAGCCUCUGCCCUCUCCUGCUGACAGAGGGCUGUGAUCUCCCCUCCUCCCCAGGCUCCCCACGUCAGGCCGUCCUCCAGGAGUGGCUAUCCAUCUCUAAGGGCUUUCCGGACUGCUGCCCAGCAACUUCAACAGGCACCUCUAAUCGACGACCUCUCCUGCCUCCGCUGGUGUAGGGACGCCAGGCUUCUGAACAGCACUGCUCUCCUCAUUUGCCUUCAAGCUGGCCUAUCUUUCCUGCUGGUGGUGGUGGGCAGAGGCAAGGGUGUGGUCAGCUUUGAAAGAGAUUCCAUUCUUGGAAUAAAGUGAUCUAGCAAACAAAGUCUUCAAAAAAAAAAUACAUGAGGGGAAAAACAAUAAGCUGAACAUGAGCAGAAAACACAUUUUCUUGCAUUUGUGGUCAUCUUCUAUGAAGCACAGUAAGAAUCUUUGGAAGCCAGUCUUCAGGGCAAAAGGAUGGAGGAUGCAGCAUCAUGAGUAUCCAGAGAGUCAGGAUGAAGUUGUUCUUGGGAACUGCAGAGACAAGCAGUUCUAUAUGGUUUCAACACAAAUGGGCUAGGAAGAACCCUGGCACCGUGAGCAAUAAUAGUGUCACUACCUUUUUCUAGAGGUGGGAGACAAAAACUUAGCCAGACACAUUCAACAGUAAGACUCAACAAAGAAUCUUCAUAUUCAUGGACAGAAACUAAAUCUGCCACAUUUCUAGUAAGGUUCUUUCUUGGUUAAUUAAAUGUAUUAAUCUCUUCCAAUUUCUAUGUGCUAUUUGUCCUCAUUCCCCAAAGAUUAUGGCUUAGCUCAGUGUCUGCAGGUGAUUGUUCUUCUCUUGUUGCAGGUAAAAUCAUCCACGAUGCCCUCCAAUAUCAUUCCCAAUCAGUUUCCUGUUUCCCCUUCUCUUGCAGAAGCUCUGGAAGCCCACAGAGAACAGAUGCAUAAACACCAUUUACCAGACACAGCUCAGCAAACCCUCUCUCUCUUCCUUCCAGCAGCUUGGUUGUCCUCAAGGAGUUCCUAAAUUUCAUACUUCUGAGGGUUAUAUGGGAUGGUGAGGGGUGGAGGAGAGUAGCACGGAUUGAAAAAUACAUUAAUGUUGGCUGGGCACAGUGGCUCACACCUGUAAUCCCAGCGCUUUGGGAGGCCGAGGCUGGUAGAUCACCUGAGGUCAGGAGUUUGAGACCAGCCUGGCCAACAUGGCGAAACCCCAUCUCUACUAAAAAUACAAAAUUUAGCUGGGUGUGAUGGCACAUGCUUGUAAUCCCAGCUACUCAGGAGGCUGAGGCAGGAGAAUCGCUUGAACCCAGGAAGCGGAGGUUGCAGUGAGCUGAGAUUGCAGCAUUGCACUCCAGCCUGGGCAACAAGAGAGAUGCUCCAUCUUAAAAAAAAAAAGAAAAAUACAUUAAAGUGUACCAAAAUAAAUAUAUGACAGCUUUUAAAUUAUUUUCCAUGGGAAAAAAACUUAUAAUUAGUGACAAUUACUUACUGAGGGCCUGCUGGGCUAGACAUUAUGGACAUUGUGAAAGAUAAAAAGUUCAAGACACAGACUCUGUUUUCAGGAUGUGUACGCUUUAAAUAUGAAGUUAACACAGGGCAGAAAAGUAGAUACACACAUGCACACACAUACCUAUACACACAUACCUACACACACACACACACACACACACACACACAAAUACUCCUCAGACCCAAAGGACGGAGACAUCACAAUGAACAAGAUGAACAAUUGGUAGGAUUUUAAAAGACUAUUUUCUUUUUCAGCAAGGAGGAUGGAGUGGGCAGGUAGGGGAUGGUAUUUAUUUCCCAAGCAAAUCAAUUAGAAAAAAUAUUUGUAUUUCAGUAAAUUUAUUUUUUUCAAUCUUCAGAUAUAAGAAGGCUUUUCCAUGAAAAACACUCUAUUUA
rnacentral:lncRNA from 1 species